rnacentral:rRNA from 1 species
AGGCUACUGCUAUCAGAGUUCGAUUAAGCCAUGUUAGUCGAGGGUACCUUUUCUUCGGAAGAGGUAACCGGCGGACGGCUCAGUAACACGUAGACAACUUACCCUUGGGACCGGGAUAACCCUUGGGAAACUGGGGCUAAUACCGGAUAGUGCAUCGAUUGCUGGAAUGCACGAUGCUUGAAAGCUGAGGCGCCCAAGGAUAGGUCUGUGGUCGAUUAGGUUGUUGUUGAUGUAACGGAUCAACAAGCCUACGAUCGGUACGGGUUGUGAGAGCAAUAGCCCGGAGAUGGGUUCUGAGAGAAGAACCCAGGUCCUACGGGACGCAUCAGGCGCGAAAACUUUACAAUGUGCGAAAGCACGAUAAGGGAACUCUGAGUGCCUCCUAAGGAGGUUGUUCAGGUGUCUAAAAAGCAUCUGGAGGAAGGGCUGGGUAAGACCGGUGCCAGCCGCCGCGGUAACACCGGCAGCCCAAGUGGUAGCCAUGCUUACUGGGUCUAAAGCGUCCGUAGCCGGCUAGGUAAGUUCCUUGGGAAAUUUGAUCGCUUAACGACCAAGCUUCCUGGGAAUACUACUUGGCUUGGGACCGGGAGAGGUUAGAGGUACCUCAAGGGUAGGGGUGAAAUCCGUUAAUCCUUGGGGGACCACCAGUAGCGAAGGCGUCUGACCAGACCGGAUCCGACGGUGAGGGACGAAGGCUAGGGGAGCGAACCGGAUUAGAUACCCGGGUAGUCCUGGCUGUAAACGAUGCGGGCUAGGUGUUGGCAUUACUGCGAGUGAUGCCGGUGCCGAAGGGAAGCCGUUAAGCCCGCCAUCUGGGGAGUACGGUCGCAAGGCUGAAACUUAAAGGAAUUGGCGGGGGAGCACCACAACGGGUGGAGCUUGCGGUUC